rnacentral:rRNA from 1 species
GUACGGCCGCAAGGUUGAAACUCAAAGAAAUUGACGGGGACCCGCACAAGCAGCGGAGCAUGUGGUUUAAUUCGAAGAUACGCGAAGAACCUUACCAAGGCUUGACAUCGCUUGAAUAGCCGCGAAAUCGGUGAAGUAGAAGCAAUUUUACAAGCAGACAGAUGGUGCAUGGCUGUCGUCAGCUCGUGUCGUGAGAUGUUCGGUUAAGUCCGAUAACGAGCGCAACCCCUAUCGUUAGUUGCCAUCAUUAAGUUGGGAACCCUAGCGAGACUGCCGUAGGUAAUACGGAGGAAGGUGGGGAUGAGGUCAAGUCAUCAUGCCUCUUACGCCUUGGGCUACACACGUGCUACAAUGGCUACUACAAAGAGCUGCAAUAUAGUAAUAUGGAGCGAAUCUCAAAAAAGUAGUCUCAAUUCGGAUUGUGGGCUGCAACCCGCCCACAUGAAAUCGGAGUUGCUAGUAAUGGCGAAUCAGCAUGUCGCGGUGAAUGCGUUCCCGGGUCUUGUACACACCGCCCGCCAAGCUAUGAGAGCUGAGGGCACCCAAAACCGCUGUGCCAACCGCAAGGGAGCAGGCGUCUAAGGUGAAAUCGGUGAUUGGAGUUAAGGCGUAACAAGGUAGCUGUAGGAGAACCUGCGGCUGGAUCACCUCCUUU